GGAGAGGUGGCUGAGUGGUCGAAAGCAACGGUUUGCUAAACCGUCGUACAGGUAACACUGUACCGAGGGUUCGAAUCCCUCCCUCUCCG
rnacentral:tRNA from 1 species